rnacentral:rRNA from 1 species
GAUGAACGCUGACAGAAUGCUUAACACAUGCAAGUCGAUUCAAGUUACCUUUGGGUAAUGAGGAUGGCGGACGGGUGAGUAACGCGUAAGGAACUUGCCUCUUGGUCUGGGACAACUGUUGGAAACGACAGCUAAUACCGGAUAUUAUGAGAUUCUCGCAUGGGAAACUUAUGAAAGCUAUAUGCGCCAAGAGAGAGCCUUGCGUUCCAUUAGCUAGUUGGUGGGGUAACGGCCCACCAAGGCGACGAUGGAUAGCCGGCCUGAGAGGGUGAACGGCCACAAGGGGACUGAGACACGGCCCUUACUCCUACGGGAGGCAGCAGUGGGGAAUAUUGGACAAUGGGCCACAAGCCUGAUCCAGCAAUUCUGUGUGCACGAUGAAGGUCUUCGGAUUGUAAAGUGCUUUCAGUUGGGAAGAAGAAAGUGACGGUACCAACAGAAGAAGCGACGGCUAAAUACGUGCCAGCAGCCGCGGUAAUACGUAUGUCGCAAGCGUUAUCCGGAUUUAUUGGGCGUAAAGCGCGUCUAGGCGGAAAAAUAAGUCUGAUGUUAAAAUGCGGGGCUCAACUCCGUAUUGCGUUGGAAACUGUUUUUCUAGAGUACUGGAGAGGUGGGCGGAACUACAAGUGUAGAGGUGAAAUUCGUAGAUNUUUGUAGGAAUGCCGAUGGAGAGGUCAGCUCACUGGACANANACUGACGCUGAANCGCGAAAGCNUGGGGAGCAAACAGGAUUAGAUACCCUGGUAGUCCACGCCNUAAACGAUGAUCACUA